AACGAACGCUGGCGGCAGGCUUAACACAUGCAAGUCGAGCGCCCCGCAAGGGGAGCGGCGGACGGGUGAGUAACGCGUGGGAACGUACCUUUUGGUUCGGAACAACUCCGGGAAACUGGAGCUAAUACCGGAUAAGCCCUAACGGGGAAAGAUUUAUCGCCGAAAGAUCGGCCCGCGUCUGAUUAGCUAGUUGGUGAGGUAACGGCUCACCAAGGCGACGAUCAGUAGCUGGUCUGAGAGGAUGAUCAGCCACACUGGGGCUGAGACACGGCCCAGACUCCUACGGGAGGCAGCAGUGGGGAAUAUUGGACAAUGGGCGCAAGCCUGAUCCAGCCAUGCCGCGUGAGUGAUGAAGGCCUUAGGGUUGUAAAGCUCUUUUGUCCGGGAAGAUAAUGACUGUACCGGAAGAAUAAGCCCCGGCUAACUUCGUG
rnacentral:rRNA from 1 species